UCCUAGUGUAGCGGUGAAAUGCGUAGAUAUUAGGAAGAACACCAGUGGCGAAGGCGACUUUCUGGACGAAAACUGACGCUGAGGCGCGAAAGCCAGGGGAGCGAACGGGAUUAGAUACCCCGGUAGUCCUGGCCGUAAACGAUGGGUACUAGGUGUAGGAGGUAUCGACCCCUUCUGUGCCGGAGUUAACGCAAUAAGUACCCCGCCUGGGGAGUACGACCGCAAGGUUGAAACUCAAAGGAAUUGACGGGGGCCCGCACAAGCGGUGGAGUAUGUGGUUUAAUUCGACGCAACGCGAAGAACCUUACCAGGUCUUGACAUUGAUGGACAGAACUAGAGAUAGUUCCUCUUCUUCGGAAGCCAGAAAACAGGUGGUGCACGGUUGUCGUCAGCUCGUGUCGUGAGAUGUUGGGUUNNNNNNCGCAACGAGCGCAACCCCUAUCUUAUGUUGCCAGCACUUUGGGUGGGAACUCAUGAGAGACUGCCGCAGACAAUGCGGAGGAAGGCGGGGAUGACGUCAAAUCAUCAUGCCCCUUAUGACCUGGGCUACACACGUACUACAAUGGGAGUUAAUAGACGGAAGCGAGAUCGCGAGAUGGAGCAAACCCGAGAAACACUCUCUCAGUUCGGAUCGUAGGCUGCAACUCGCCUACGUGAAGUCGGAAUCGCUAGUAAUCGCAGGUCAGCAUACUGCGGUGAAUACGUUCCCGGGCCU
rnacentral:rRNA from 1 species